ensembl:lncRNA
CGACUUUCAUGGCAAAGCUGGACCAGCACACCGCAAAGAUUCUUUCUUUGAUGGCUUCAAGAGGGGGAGCUGCAAAACCGAAGAUCCAUCUCAUACAGAACAUGCUUCUACAAGAGGAGGCGUCUUCAAUUGAGAAAAAGAGAGAGGCUGCAAUCCGGGGCUUAAUCCUGUACCUUGGAGAAAAGGAUGAUGAUCUCAUUAAAGAUGAAUUGCUCGCCACUACCACUGAGGUUCCCCACUACCUCUACAGAGAUGGGAGAAAUCCCAGCGGGAGAAGAAUCUUCAUGCAGAUCUCACCAGGAAUCCAUACAAG